GACGAACGCUGGCGGCGUGCUUAACACAUGCAAGUCGAACGGAAAGGCCCUGCUUUUGUGUGGUGCUCGAGUGGCGAACGGGUGAGUAACACGUGAGUAACCUGCCCUUGACUUUGGGAUAACUUCAGGAAACUGGGGCUAAUACCGGAUAGGAGCUCCUGCUGCAUGGUGGGGGUUGGAAAGUUUCGGCGGUUGGGGAUGGACUCGCGGCUUAUCAGCUUGUUGGUGGGGUAGUGGCUUACCAAGGCUUUGACGGGUAGCCGGCCUGAGAGGGUGACCGGCCACAUUGGGACUGAGAUACGGCCCAGACUCCUACGGGAGGCAGCAGUGGGGAAUAUUGCACAAUGGGCGGAAGCCUGAUGAAGCAACGCCGCGUGCGGGAUGACGGCCUUCGGGUUGUAAACCGCUUUCGCCUGUGACGAAGCGUGAGUGACGGUAAUGGGUAAAGAAGCACCGGCUAACUACGUG
rnacentral:rRNA from 1 species